GACGAACGCUGGCGGCGUGCCUAAUACAUGCAAGUUGAGCGAUGAAGAUUGGUUCUUGCACCAAUUUCGAGAGCAGCGCACGGGUGAGUAACGCGUGUGGAAUCUGCCUUUGAUCGGGGUACAACAUUUAGAAACGAAUGCUAAUACCGCAUAACAACUUUAAACAUAAUUUUGAAUGUUGAAAUAUGCAAUUGCAUCACUCAAACAUGAUCCCGCGUUGUAUUAGCUGGUUGGUGAGGUAAAGGCUCACCAAGGCGAUGAUACAUAGCCGACCUGAGAGGGUGAUCGGCCACAUUGGGACGGAGACACGGCACAAACGCCUACGGGAGGCAGCAGUAGGGCAUCUUCGGCAAGGGACGAAAGUCUGACCGAGAAACGCGGAGUGAGUGAAGAAGGAUGUCGGAUCGGAAAACUCUGUUGGUAGGGAAGAACGUUGGUGAGCGUGGAAAGCUCAUCAAGUGACGGUAACUAGUCAGAAAGGGACGGCUAACUACGUG
rnacentral:rRNA from 1 species